rnacentral:rRNA from 1 species
UACGUAGGGUGCAAGCGUUGUCCGGAAUUAUUGGGCGUAAAGAGCUCGUAGGCGGUCUGUCGCGUCUGCUGUGAAAACUCAGGGCUUAACCCUGAGCUUGCAGUGGGUACGGGCAGACUAGAGUGCGGUAGGGGAGACUGGAAUUCCUGGUGUAGCGGUGAAAUGCGCAGAUAUCAGGAGGAACACCGGUGGGCGAAGGCGGGUCUCUGGGCCGUAAGCUGACGC